rnacentral:rRNA from 1 species
CGUGGAGAACCUGCCGUAUACUGGGGGAUAACACUUAGAAAUAGGUGCUAAUACCGCAUAAGCGCACAGCUUCGCAUGAAGCAGUGUGGAAAACAAAAAGCUAAAGCUUUUGGUGGUAUACGAUGGAUCCGCGUCUGAUUAGCUUGUUGGCGGGGUAAAGGCCCACCAAGGCGACGAUCAGUAGCCGGCCUGAGAGGGUGAACGGCCACAUUGGGACUGAGACACGGCCCAAACUCCUACGGGAGGCAGCAG